GGGUUAUAAUAAUUCACAACCACUCAUUCCUUCUGUCCCACCGAUACAUCAACCACCACAUAGGUGGAACCUGGCUUCCUGUGGGACCAGUGUAGCCAGCUCACGGUGCAGCGAGGAGCUCUUCUCCUCUGUGUCUGUGGGGGAUCAGGACUACUGUUCUGAAUUAUAUAUACCCUUCUGGAUGACCAAGAACUAACAUCUCUGGACCAGAGGGCGGUGUUUGCAGUGACGUCUCCUCCUCAGCUGUUAUCUAACCUAGUUGUGAAGUAAACACUGCUGAUUUUAACAGGUGCUUUAUGGAAGCCAUGAUAACCUAGCUGCAUUGUUUGUUUGACACCCCCCCCAUGCUGAGUGUGCCGAGUCUGUUUUCCAAGAAGAAGCCUAGCCAUUGCGACCUGGAUGAAUUGCCAUGGAAUGCCAUGAACAACGAUGAACAAAUAAACAAAGCCAACACGGCCUUCUGGAUUAUAGUGUUUAAAAUUGGCAACCUCUCUUUGCAAUCAGAGUGCUCAGAAUUGACUGAGAACUUACAGACUUUCUGAUUCUGCUAGUUCAUGAUAUUUAUUUAGCAGAAUUGGUUUACGUCAGUGUCGGUUAACCAUUAUUAAGUCAAUUUUAUUUUUAUAACCCAAUAUCACAAUGCGCAAAUUUGCCUUAAGGGGCUUUACAAUCUGUACCGUAUACACCAACCUCUGUCCUUAGACCCUCGAUUUUGAUGAGGAAAAAUUAGACCAAAAACUUUUAACUUUUAACUUUUAACAUCUUGUUUAUGUUAGCAGUUCUACAUGAAUAUAAAAUUAAUUAGAAGGUAAGAAUUUAAAAACAUAGCCUACAUGGUGGCAAAAUCUUGCUUGCAGCAGUAGUUAUUGAAAUAUCAGCUUAAUGUCAGUCAUUGUGCCAAACCAUUAGAUUGUGGUGACUUGAAUUUGAAAUAAAUAUGUUGCUCUGUA